rnacentral:rRNA from 1 species
UACAGAGGGUGCGAGCGUUAAUCGGAAUUACUGGGCGUAAAGCGUGCGUAGACGGUUAUUUAAGUCGGGUGUGAAAGCCCCGGGCUCAACCUGGGAAUUGCAUUCGAGACUGAAUAGCUAGGGUACGGUAGAGGGAAGUGGAAUUUCCGGUGUAGCGGUGAAAUGCGUAGAUAUCGGAAGGAACAUCAGUGGCGAAAGCGACUUCCUGGACCAGUACCGACGUUCAGGCACGAAAGCGUGGGGAGCAAAUAGG